rnacentral:rRNA from 1 species
GACGAACGCUGGCGGCGUGCUUAACACAUGCCAGUCGAACGGGAUCCGGGCUUUCGGGUUUGGUGAGAGUGGCGAACGGGUGAGUAACACGUGAGUAACCUGCCCCCUUCUUUGGGAUAACGUCGGGAAAUCGGCGCUAAUACUGGAUAUUCUUGCUGCAUCGCAUGGUGUGGUUUGGAAAGGGUUUCUGGUGGGGGAUGGGCUCGCGGCCUAUCAGCUUGUUGGUGGGGUGAUGGCCUACCAAGGCUUUGACGGGUAGCCGGCCUGAGGGGGUGUCCGGCCACACUGGGACUGAGACACGGCCCAGACUCCUACGGGAGGCAGCAGUGGGGAAUAUUGCACAAUGGGCGCAAGCCUGAUGCAGCGACGCCGCGGGAGGGAUGACGGCCUUCGGGUUGUAAACCUCUUUCAGUAUGGAACAAGGAUCCUUCUUUUGGGGGGUUUGAGGGUACGUGCAGAAGAAGCGCCGGCUAACUACGUG